AGCUUUUCACUAUACUCACACUGCUUGGAUCAAGUGUAGUAUCUGUUAUUAUCAGUUUAAUAUCUGAUAUGCCCCUUAUCUGGGGACCAUAUAUAUUAAAUGGAUUUUAGAACAGGGAAAUGGUAGAAAAGCUUGCUUAGUCCACUCCACGCAUUAACUCGGUAUUGCAGUACCUCAGGGACCAGUGCACCUGGG